GGCCGCCUGGCGUAAUGGCAACGCGUCUGACUACGAUCAGUGCCCUUAGGAGGUAAUCAGGAGAUUGCAGGUUCGACCCCUGCGGUGGUCA